UCUUGACCAAGAUGACUGCACCAAGAGUCUACGCCGGCGAGCUCAGAGUUGGAACUGGUAAACAGGAAAGAGAACAAGUUUCUGUCGUUGGUUUAACUGCAACAAGAUACUAAAGGACAUUGGGUUCGAAUCAUUUGAGGUUUUUGUGAAGAUUUAUCAAGAACAUCAGUAGGAGAACUAAUAAGGAUGACGUUGAACUGAAAGAGUUUUAUCAAUCAUCAGCCUGCAGGACGCUUACAAACUGCUCGAGGAAAUGCCCAAGCUACUAGUUCUUCCUGAAUUCACAGUCAGUUGCAACUAGUUGACUGAACCAGAUUUGAUCAUCAGAAAAUAGGAUUUUGGAGCUUAAUUGAGAAGAAAUUGGAGUUGGAUUCUGUUCAAGUUUGAUUCUCAGCAAGAGAGAGCACCAAAUAAGAGAUGAACAGAAUUGUUUCUUCUCGUAUCUUCUCUGUCCGUACAGCCAAGAAGUGAUGAUGCUGCGGUUGAUAUGGAUUGAUGAAUGAAGGAGAUGAUUAAAUGGGCAUUUUAGAGCUUACGAAUGAUGAGAAGUGGCUGGUGUUUGAGUAAUGAAUGGAAGAGAAACAAGGGUUUGCUGCUGCCUGUGGUUGCUGUUACAGGUCUUGGGAGGUUGUUUACAAAGGGUUAGAUGAUAUUUCAGAAGUCAACAAGAAACUGAACUGGCUCGAGUUCGCUGGUGGUUCUCGACAGAUUUGUACUGCGUGUAGGUGCUGAGAUAUGAAGAAGGAUACAGGGCUCGAAUUGGGUUAAAGUUGACAAGGCUUUGAUCGAGUUUUCGGCAGCAAUAUGUUACCAGUGCAAUGUCUAGAGAAUCUUAAUAUAAGUAGCGCAAUGUGGAUAUUAACGACAGAAUUUUGUUAAAGAUUCAUAUGUAUUGAAUGACACUAAUAAAUGAGCCGAGCUUUU